UGACACACUUGCUUUGCUUUCCAUAUACUAAAACUGGAACGAUACAGGGAAGAUUAGUAGGGACCCAUGCAAACUCGUGAGGCGCUCCAUUUUUUG
rnacentral:snRNA from 1 species